CUUCAUAAACAAAAUCCAUUAACAUUUGGCAGUUAUACUUGAAGAUCCAACAGACGUCCCCAAAACACGCAAUAGUUUUCUGCAAAUAUCUGCUUUGGGAAAAACCAUCUUAAGGCAGCCCAGUCAUAAUGCUGUUUACAUGGAAUAUUUAACCCCAAAGUUGUAACCAAUAUAAGAAGGGUCUGUUAUAGAAGUAUUUAAUGAUAGUCAAACUCAAUAUUGCUUUAUUUUACAGUAUAACUGCUUUCGACUGAGUUAUAGAAAUCUUUGCUUUAGUGAAACUAAUGUUAAGAGGCUAAAAAUAGUAUUUACAUAUGAUUCUUUGGAAAUAUAAUAUCAUUUAGUUAAUUGUACAUCAAACAUUUUUUUCUUCUGAUGAAAGGGGUCAUUGUACGACUUUGAUAUAAACUGUCAGAUGUUUCUAAAUGCACCUCCCUUAAACAGUCCACAACUGAACUUGGAAUUCUGAAUCUUAAUUAGAUCAUAAAAGAUUAUUGUCAUGCAUAUUUUUGGUUAUAAGUGCCUGAGCAACUUUUGGACCUAGAAUAAAAUAAACAAUGUUUCACUUUGCAAAACUCCACCACGGUUGCUUGUCAAUUUAGGUGUUGGUAUGAAUUUCUGAUUAGAGAAAUUCAAACCAAUAUAUUUGGUUGUUUGCCAAUUUAGAAACAUUAAUGCUGUUUGUAUAGCAACAUAUUUAUGCAGUUGCUAAAUGAUUUGUGCUCAAAUAUGCUCUGAAGGAUUAGCCUGAAUAGCUGAACGUUGUGCAUUGUAUCGAAUGUCAAUAUGGCUUAUGUGCCUGAAGUAUAAACUUUCAGGGAAAAAGUUAAACAAAUGAUUUACAAAUGAAGGGAUUUUUAAAUAACAAAAUAUGGCAAAAUUAUAAUUAAUAACAAUGUGAAAUGGCCUUGUUACAUGUUUGCCAGAAUAACUCAUAGUCCUUGGAUAAAUUAUGGUAAUGACUAAAAUCUGAUAAUGUGAAAGCUUUAUACAAGACAAUUUCCAGUGGGCAGAAAACACUAAAAUGGAAGUGAAGUGUCUUAUAUCCCCUUAAGGACUGAGCCAAAUGUACACGUUUUGAUCAAAAUAAAACAUAAAAUAAAACUUGGAAUUCAUGCUAUAUGUCUAUUCAACCAUAAUUCACCUCUUUCAUAUUAAGUGCACCCACACUUAUUAUAUAUAAUUUUAUUCAGGAGAAACAGGGCUUUCAUUUAACAUCAAAUAUUUAGCUAUGAAACAUAAUUUAAUAUGAAUAAAAUAUAAAAAUAAAAUGUGAUAAAUUAAAAAAUGCUGUUUUUUUUAGUUCUGCAUGACAUUUUAACUGUGAAUGUCAUAAUACUGUUUGCUUUUACUGCAAUAAAAUACACAUAUUUGUAUUCAACAAUGUCUCAUGUGUAAAACAGUACCCUCUAUGUACAGGUGUUUUGGGAAGUUACAGGGUCAAAUAUAGCAUGUUACAUUUUUCAUUUUUUUCACAUUGAAAUUCGCCAGAUUGGUUACGUUUCCUUUGAGACCGUAUUGUAGUCCAGGAAUGAGAAUUACCCCCAUGACGGCAUACCAUUUGCAAUAGUAGACAACCGAAGGUAUUGCAAAUAGGGUAUGUCCAGUCUUUUUAAGUAGCCAUUUAGUCACAAACACUGGCCAAAGUUAGUAUUAACAUAUGUUUGUGUGUGAAAAAUGCAAAAAAUGAAUUUGAACGCCAAAUUUGGCCAGUGUUUGUGACUAAGUGACUACUAAAAAAGACUGGACAUACCCCAUUUGCUAUAGCUUGGGUUGUCAACUUUUGCAAAUGGUAUGCCAUCAUGGUAAUUCUCAUUCCUGGAUUACCAAAGGCAACGUAACCAAUCUGGCAAAUUUCAAUGUGGAAUAACUGAAACACAAGCCUUAUAUUUGACUCUAACUUUUGAAAACACCAUAAAACCUGUACAUGAGGGGUACUGUCAUACUCAGGAGACUUCGCUGAACACAAAUACUAGUGCUUCAAAACCGUAAAACAUGUCACAACAAUGAUAUCAUCACUGUAAGUGCCACUUGUACGUGUAAAAUGCAAAAAAAGUCACUUUCACUGAUGAUAUCAUCGUUGUAAUGCAUUUUACUGUUUUGAAACACUAAUAUUUGUAUUAAGCAAACUCUCCCAAGUAAAACAGUACCCCCCGUGUGCAGGUUUUAUGGUGUCUUAGAAAGUUACAGGGUUAAAUAGUGCUAAAUAGUGCUAGCAAAUGAAAUUCUCUGGACUUUCUGCCUGGGUUAUCAGGCAGGUCACGCAAACUGUAAUUAAUAAAAUGGCUUCAUUAUGUAAACAUAUUACAUAAAU